rnacentral:lncRNA from 1 species
GUUCCUGCAAGGGCCACAGCAGGCCACGAGCUCCACCGCCCCGCGGAGGGGCCGAGUGGGCCGCUCAGCGCGGGAGCCACACCUCAGACCAACCCCUCAGUCCGCCCCAAACCCUGAGGCUUGAAGCCUUCAGCACCAAUUUUAGAAGUGAGGGACAUUUUCUACUAACUUUUAUUUUUCUUUCAGGCUUGAUUUGUGUUAUUCACUACCGUUAUGCUCUAGGUUUUUGGUUUGUUUUGUUUUGAUGUUGUGGUCAACCCCUCAUCCGCCCCAAACCCUAAAGUCUAAGACCCCUGACGCCAAGGCCCCCCCCGGGCUGUGAGCUCUCCUCCCUGGCCGCUCUGCCCUGUGGAAUGGAUCCUGACUUCAAAUACAUCAUCCACCCCACUGCUGCUCUUGGGUGACCUGCUCAGCUUUGUUUAGGACGUCAGGCGCCUGGACAGGACCCCCCAACCUGGCAACGCUCUUGCAUAGCCACAAGGGUGCAGUGAUCAGCAGCAGGAAGCCGGCACCCUGAACCUGAGCCCACCCUGACUUUAGCAGAGGUUUCCAUUCGCGCCUCUCCCCCGUUCUCACUGUUAGGGGCUGGAGCAGCCCUGCUGGUGAGAAAGAGGCCUGGACAAAGAGGGAACCUGGAAUAAACCUCAUCCCCUAAUUAUAAGGAAUAAUCAGAAGAGCUGCGUGUGGUGGUGCAUGUCUGUGAUCCAGAACUCUGGUGGGCUGAUGCAGGCGGAUUGCAAGUUCGAAACCAACUGGGCCAACUUUGCAAUUUAGUAAGACCUUGUCUGAAAUUAAGAAAAAACCAAAAACCAAAAAACAGAUGGGGAUGCAGCUCAGGGUGAAGGCCCUGGGUUCAAUCCUCAGCCUGCAAAAACAAAAGUACAGAAGGUUGCUAUGGACCCAGUGAGCUGCUGCCGCAGCUUGUCCUGUGAUGAGCGCCCUGUCGGUGUUAUGGGUGUUUUUACACCUCCAGCUCCAAUUCAGCGUGAACACUACCAGGCUGCGGCGCUCGGAGCCGACAGGUUGCUGCCGCUCCUCUUCCUUCUCUCGCUCGUUUACGUUUACUCCUUGGAUCCACCACCGUCUCCCUCACUUCACGGAUGGCGACUGGGAGAGGUUCCGGAGAACCUUCUUCAGUUCCAAGCUUCUGCCCCCAAACCAAAGAAGAGCCUUGCUCUGUGCCCAAGAGAAGCAGGGGUGAGCAGACGCACAAGGCAAGGAACCGACAAGUCAUCUAAUGGGAAGAGGAAAACCUCAGCUUCCUCAAAUAAUGCCACAUCUCCAAAGCCCCAGGCAAAACUCAGCUUCAUCAAAGAGCUCUCUGUUUUGUCCUUAUUGAGGAAAAUCCCACAAAACUGCUGCUUGGAAGGCCGAGAAACAUGAAUUUACUUUCAGGAAUUUGAGGGUCAGCACAUGUCCUUGAAAUGAUGAGCAGUAUCAGGCUUUGGGCUCAGAGCUUUUAUUCCUUAACAGUACAGACAGCAACAGAAAGGAAUUCUUAGCUCGCAAGUAAAGAAAGACCUUAGAACAAAUCCACAGACACGUACGCAACCGUUCCUGAAGGUCACACACAGUAUUACCUGAGACUCAGGUUGCACCUUAUAAAUAUUUGUUCUCUUGGUUCUCACAACAAUCCUAUCCAUAGGCAUCAUUAUUAUCUCCACUGGGCAGAUAGGAAAACUGAGUCACAGAGUUAGAUAACCCACUCAGGGACAUAGCCGAUAAAUCAGCACACCCAGUCUGCCGUGCCCAGGGCUGCCAGAGCCACACCCAAGGUCAGAGAGCAACCACAAGCCCCGUGUCCUCCCCGUGUCCUUUACUCAGAGAUCUGAGUGACCAAAACACGUCAGGAUGGUUGCAACUUCCCAUCCUUCGUCCUCAAAAAAAAAGUAAAAUAUUGCUAUCUCUUUUCAUUUUUCUUUUGAACUUCAUAUAAAUAAA